UUCUUCCCUGGUUUUGCUGUAUACUGUGUGAGCUGCUGAUAUUCUCUCUCUUAACAGGACCAAUGGUGAGAUCAUCUAGCAGGGCUUAGGUCUUCCCCACAGCUGACGGGAGGUACAACAGAGUCACAAGAGACGCGGCGUAAACAGUCUGGGCCUCCGCAUCUCAGUAUGCGGGGCUCAAUGUCAGAUGAGUCUCAUCUCGUAAGGCAUUAGCAGUGAUCCAGGAUGUGUCGGCAUAUCCGCUGUCGAGCGGUCUGUUUUUGGGGAACCCUUUUCUGGGACUACUUCUCA